GGCUCUGUGGCGCAAUGGAUAGCGCGUUGGACUUCUAGUAGUUCUUGUCAGAUGUAAUUCAAAGGUUGUGGGUUCAAAUCCCACCAGAGUCA
rnacentral:tRNA from 1 species